UACGGGAGGCAGCAGUGGGGAAUAUUGCACAAUGGGCGAAAGCCUGAUGCAGCUAUGCCGCGUGUAUGAAGAAGGCCUUAGGGUUGUAAAGUACUUUCAUCGGGGAGGAAAAAACAAAACUAAUAAUUUUAUUUCUUGACGUUACCCGAAAAAGAAGCACCGGCUAACUCCGUGCCAGCAGCCGCGGUAAUACGGAGGGUGCUAGCGUUAAUCAGAAUUACUGGGCGUAAAGAGCACGUAGGUGGUUUUUUUAAAGUCAGAUGUGAAAUCCCUGGGCUUAACCUAGGAACUGCAUUUUGAAACUGAAAUACUAGAGUAUCGUAGAGGGAGGUAGAAUUCUAGGUGUAGCGGUGAAAUGCGUAGAUAUCUGGAGGAAUACCUGUGGCGAAAGCGGCCUCCUAAACCGGAAUACUGACACUGAGGUGCGAAAGCGUGGGGAGCAAACAGGGAUUAGAUACCCGU
rnacentral:rRNA from 1 species